rnacentral:rRNA from 1 species
UACAGGCUUAACACAUGCAAAGUCGCAGGGGUAACAUGAGGAAAAGCUUGCUUCCUUGAUGACGACUGGCGCACGGGUGAGUAACGCGUAUCCACCUUCCCAUAACUACGGGAUAACCCGUUGAAAGACGGCCCUAAUACCGUAUGAUAUCGUUUGCUGACAUCAAAAUAACGAUUAAGGUUUAGCGGUUAUGGAUGGGGAUGCGUCUGAUUAGCUUGUUGGCGGGUAACGGCCCACCAAGGCUACGAUCAGUAGGGGUUCUGAGAGGAAGGUCCCCCCACAUUGGAACUGAGACACGGUCCAAACUCCUACGGGAGGCAGCAGUGAGGAAUAUUGGUCAAUGGGCGAGAGCCUGAACCAGCCAAGUAGCGUGCAGGAAGACGGCCCUAUGGGUUGUAAACUGCUUUUAUGUGGGGAUAAAGUGCGCGACGUGUCGUGCAUUGCAGGUACCACAUGAAUAAGGACCGGCUAAUUCCGUGCCAGCAGCCGCGGUAAU